UGUAUUUCAUCAUAGCAUAUUAAAAAAAAAAACUGGAGAAUGAUGAAAGUGCGGGAGCUGAAAGUGCGGUAGGUAAGGUUGCCGUAGAAAUGGUCGCUAAGUGAGAGCUGAGGAUUCGGUGCAGGAAGGGGCUGAGGCGGGAGACGAGGAUAUCGCUGCUGCCCCAAGGAAUGCCAAGAAAACCAUUGGCUUGACCGUACCCUACUCUGUACAGCAAUGGAAGGAGCUGAUCUUCAGGACGUUUCAGAACAGUCACAAUGUUAUUUU